GGUGAAAUACAGUGUGUCUAUUUACAAUUCAAAACAUUUAUUACAAAAGCUGCUGAUGAGAUAUGUUCAUCAGAUUUAUUCUAUGUAUUCAGUGGUUAUCACAGUUUUUAAUCACAUUUUGGAUUAUG